GGGGGGGGGGGGGGGGGGGGGGGGGGGGGGGGAGGGGAGGGGGAGGGUCGGGUCGGGUGGCGCGCGGGUGGGGGGCGCGGGGGGCCCUGCCCUUGGGUUGGGAAUAGCGCCCCGAAGGGGGGGCUAAGCACGGCUAACGUCCUCGAACCCAAGGUUGAGCGCCUUUGGAUGGGCCCGCGUUGGAUUGGCCAUUUGGUAGGGGACAACCCACUCAAGGGGACGCGCCAUAGCUGGUCUGAGAGACUGAUCAGCCACACUGGGACUGAGACACGGCCCAGACUCCUAAGGGAGGCAGCAGUGGGGAAUAGUGGACAAUGGGCGAAAGCCUGAUCCAGCAAUGCCGCGUGAGUGAUGAAGGCCUUAGGGUUGUAAAGCUCUUUUACCCGGGAUGAUAAUGACAGUACCGGGAGAAUAAGCUCCGGCUAACUCCGUG
rnacentral:rRNA from 1 species